rnacentral:rRNA from 1 species
UACGUAGGGGGCAAGCGUUGUCCGGAUUUAUUGGGCGUAAAGAGCUCGUAGGUGGUUUGUCGCGUCUGCCGUGAAAACCCGAGGCUUAACCUCGUGGCUUGCGGUGGAUACGGGCAGACUAGAGGUAGGUAGGGGAGAAUGGAAUUCCCGGUGUAGCGGUGAAAUGCGCAGAUAUCGGGAGGAACACCGGUGGCGAAGGCGGUUCUCUGGGCCUUACCUGACGCUGAGGAGCGAAAGCGUGGGGGAGCGAACAGGG